rnacentral:tRNA from 1 species
GGGCCAUUAGCUCAGGUGGUUAGAGCGCACCCCUGAUAAGGGUGAGGUCCCUGGUUCAAGUCCGGGAUGGCCCA